AGCAACAACAACAACAACAAUAGCUUUGGUUAGGGUUUUAAUUUUUUCUCUUCUUACCCAUUACACCAGCCGUCACUCUCUUUCUCCCUCACCCUUACCCUCACCCUCACGUUCGCCUCUCUCUCUCUCUCUCUCUCUCCCUGCCUCCCUCACCUGGCCUUUCCGCCGCCGCCGCCACUUCCCACCCUAGCCAUCGCCGUGCUCUCCCCUUAUUCUCGACUCUCUCUCUCUCCCUCAUCCUCGCCUCUCACUCUCUCCCUCACCCUUGCCACUCUGCCGCCAGCCACCACUGCUGCAGCCCUACUCCUCUUCCCCUUUCCUCCUCUCAUGUCCACCUCCGCCGCUAGUCUCCUCCACCGCCAAUUUUCUAGUACCUCCUCUACCCUUUGUAAUUUUUAUUUUGUAUUUUUUGUUUUUGGGUUUUUUGUUCAAUAUUUAGAGUGUGGGUUUUCUGGAACCUCCUCUACCCAUCGGUUUGGGUUUGUGCUUGUGUUUGAAACGUGGGUUUUAUGUUGACCCAGAGGCGAAGCUCCUGUUUAUCAUUCGCAUUCGUGGUAUCAAUGCCAUGCACCAAAAGACUAGAAAGAUCUUGCAGCUCUUGCGUUUGAGACAGGUAUUACAUGAAACUCACCCCUUAUGGUACUAUAAAAUGGCAUCUGGUUAUUGUAGUUUUUAUUUAUGUUUUUGUGUUGGUCAUGACGGUAAAUAUAUCCUUUUGAAGGCUAAGGCAGGUUCAGACUAUUUGUUUAUUGUACCGAAUAGUUUUAGUAAAAGUACUCGUUUUUAAAGCUAUUUAAGUUUAAGCUCCUUGGGUCAUAGUCUAGAAAUCUUUGAGGCAAAGCUCAAACAUCUAGUGUCAAGGUGUUUGGGUGUAAGCACCUUUUUUAUUUUGACCUUUUAGAACUUUAUAUAAGCAUUAAGUACACACUAUUUCUAGUAGGUUUACUGCUGAAUAGUUUGAAACUUGAAGCCCUUUGUUGUGAGUGUUAUGAAAAGCUAAUCUGAAACUAUGCCUGAUUCUUUUAUUCUGAAUGCUGGGACAUGCCUAAUUAUUUUAUUCUUUUAAUCUGAAACUAUGAUAAGCUAACUGACACUGAAUGCUGAAACUUGGCCCACGUAUUUAGUCAUCAAAGGGAAGUUUCAAUUGCAUUGAAUUCAGCCCAAUAUUUUAAAGAAAAUUAAACAGAGGCAUCAUCCGUGGCCGCCACCUUGCCUCCAUUAAUGACCAGUCGCCUCUUGCUUUCUCCGCUGGAAACAUCACUCUCCUCAGUAAUUCUUUGGGAUUGUAUGAUCCUUAUUCCACUCCUCAAAUAAUCAUUCAAAUAUAUGUUUUUAGUUUAUAUAUAUAUAUUUUGUGUGUGUGUUUUUUAGUGAGCUUUUGAUAUGAUAUUUUUUGGUUUUUUUUAAAAUUUUUUUUUUUUUAUAUGUGAUAUUUUUGAUUCCUGAUAAGAGAAAGAGUUGUUUUUUAGUGGCCAGUUGUAUUAUUGUAAGUAAAAGUUAUAACUUUUUGUGGUCUCCCAACCUAUCCAAAAAGACCCCAAAUGAAUUUUUUUUUUUUUAAUUUUCCUGGGUGACCAAACUGUUUGUUUCAAUUAGGUUAGGUGUACUGACUUUAUUAUUUUAUUUGGUUAAUUAAUUAAUUUAUUUUCUAUGUUUGUUGAUGUUUUAGUUUGCAUUAUGCUAAUGUUUCUUUGGGGAAUCCGAGUUUAUCAUUCUUGGUGGUGUUAGACACAGGCAGUGAUUUGUUCGGGAUACCAUGUGAUUGUCAGAAAAAUGGUUGCGUAAAGGCCUUAUAGUCAUCAUCUGGAGCGGGGUAUGUUGAGUUAAACACAAAUUCUUCAUAGCAGGGAUGGGUUCUGGACAUUGGUUUAAGAUGAUAAUUGGCUCAAAGAAAGGGAAGCGCAGCAGUUCAAAACAAGUAAAGGUCUACUUGCUUCUUUUGUAACUUGGAUCGGCCAAAUGCCACAGUUCGUUCUAGAGGCAGAAAUCCCAAAGGUAUUGACACAAAACCCAAUCUUUAUCUUCUUUUUACAAGAAUGCUUGAUUUUUUUUUUUUUUUUUUAUAAAAAUUUUAUUUACCACUUUAUUGGCUUACACUUUCACAACUUAAAAAAAUUGUGUAAAGAAAAACUAUGUUGGUUUUAUAGUGAGAAAAAGUGAUAAGAAUAAUUGCUGCACUUUGUUUUUUCGUGUGUUUGAAUCUCAUUGGUUUGUGAGUAGUGGGAAAAAAAAGUAGAUCAAUUUGGAAGUUACAACAAUCUGUAAAUAAUUGCCAUAAAGAAUAAGAUAAAAAUUAUGAUCAUAGACUAACUUAGAAAUAAUGUGCAAAACUCUCAAUUUUUGUGAGUUCCACUUAUUAAAAUAAGAAAUAAAAACAUUUUGAAUAGAUAAUGUGAAAUGCAAUUUGCAUGUUAUUGCAAACAAAUCAUUAUAGAUAACCAGUUAACCAUACAUGUAGGACCAUAUGUAUCAAAUUUAUUUAUUUUUUGCUGUAUUAGGUUGCAUUUUGUUCAUUGUUGUGCUCCUAAGGUCUUAGUGGAGCUAAAAUUAAUUAUUACAGGUUAUUUGUAAUAGAAAUAGAAAUGUGGUUUUAAAACCCAGUAGAAAA